rnacentral:rRNA from 1 species
GAUGAACGCUGGCGGCGGGCCUAAUACAUGCAAGUCGAGCGAACAGAUGAGGAUCUUGCGCCUCUGACGUUAGCGGCGGACGGGUGAGUAACACGUGGAUAACCUACCUAUAGGACUGGGAUAACUUCGGGACACCGGAGCUAAUACCGGAUAAUAUAUUGAACCGGAUUGGUCAAUAGUGAAAGACGGUUUUGCUGGCGCUUAUAGAUGGAUCCGCGCCGCAUUAGCUAGUUGGUAAGGUAACGGCUUACCAAGGCAACGAUUUAUAGCCGACCUGAGAGGACGAUCGGCAACUGUGGAGAUGAGACACGGUCCAACACCGUACGGGAGGCAGCAGUAGGACACCUUCCGGAAGGGGCGAAAGCCUGAAGGAGCAACGCGGCGCGAGUCAUGACGGGCCUCGGAUCGUAAAACUCUGAUAUCUGAGAAGAACAAAUGUGUAAGUAACUAUGCACGUCUUGACGGUACGUAAUAAGAAAGCCACGGCUACUUCCGU